AUUAGAGGCAUGAGCCACUGCACCUGGCCAGUAAAACUAUUUGUGACACAGCAGCAAGUGCACAAGCACUGACCUAUCAGAGUUGAAGGUGGCUGAGGCACUCAAGUGGGCUCCUGGGGACUCUGUUAUGCCAGGGAAUACCUCUUUAGAUAAGGGAUCAGGAGGUCUGGAGGGUCCCUAAGGAAGAGCUAGGGUAGCAGGGGUACCCUGGAGCUAGGGGCCAUGGCUAUAUGCCAACAGGAUUAGAAAUAUCUUAAUGUAUUUAAUUAACCUACACAACCAUAUUGGUGGGUGCCUACUGAAUAUUAGCCCUAGAUAUGGACCUGAAAUGGCCUUAUUCUCUUUUAGUUUGUUUAAGCCAAUGGAGCCUUACUAGAAUGUGAGCUACAAAACAGUAGAGCUAUUCUCUAUUCAAUGCUGCAUCUGUAGGGCCUAGAACAGCACCUGAAGGACUGGCGGAGGCUUAAUAAAUUGUUAAAAGGGCAGACUAGCCAGGUGUGAUGGCGUGUGCCUGUAGUCCCAGCUACUUGGGAGGCUGAGGCAGGAGGAUCACUUGAUCCCAGGAUUUCUGGGCUGUAGUGUAGUAUACCAGUCAGGUGUCUGCACUAAGUUCUGCAUCAACCUGGUUGCCUAAGGAUGGUUGAACUGACCCAGGUGGAAAUUGGAGCAGGUCAAAACUCAAUGCUGAUCAGUAACAGGGUCGCACCUGUAAAUAGCCACCGCCCUCCAGCCUGGGCAACACAGUGAGAUCCCAUCUCUAAAAUAAAUUUUAAAAAUAAUUAAUUAGAAAAAAAAACCAGCCUGUAAUCCCAGCACUUUGGGAGGCCAAGGCGGGCAGAUCACCUGAGGUCAGGAGUUCAAGACAAGCCUGGCCAACAUGGCAAAACCCCAAUCUCUACCAAAAAUACAAAAAUUAGCUGGGCGUGGUGGCAGGUGCCUGUAGUCCCAGCUACCCAGGAGGCUGAGGCAAGAGAAUCGCUUGAACCUGGGAGGUGGAGAUUGCAGUGGGCCGAGAUCGCGCCACUUCACUCCAGCCUGGGUAGCAGAGUGCGACUCUGUCUCAAAAAAAAAAAAAAAGAAAGAAAAGAAAAGAAAAAGAAAAGAAAAGAAAAAAACUGGGAGGCCUAAGCCCAUUCUUGGUGUCCUCACACUCUUCUGCCCCAUCUCCUUGCACCCAGUCUUCCCCUGCAAUCUGUGCUCCAUACUAGCCCUCAAGCCCUCAACGUGACCUAGUAUGAGAACUGGAUUCUGUCACUCUCCUGCUCAUAAUAUUUUAUGCCUUCCCUUUGCCCAGA
rnacentral:lncRNA from 10 species